GUGUAUAAAGAGAGAGAAUUGGCAGUAAGGUGAGCUGCUGAGCAAACCAGCCUUCUGGGGAGUCUGUGCUGUUUCUUACUUAACAGUGACAAACAUGACAAUGCAAGUUUUAGGAAGAUGGAGAGGGAGCAAGGAUGAUGUGCAAUGUGUGUAAAGCCUGUGAAACAGUAGCUGAGCCAUUUAUUGCAACAAGAGAGGAGUUGCCUGAACGCACAGGCGCUGAGAGACAACAGGGUUUUGCUGCAGUUGGAAACUUGGAGAAAUAUAAUUGCACCAUUGUCUCUCUCUGUGCUCCCAUGUCGUGAGCCCGCCUAGCUCCUGGGAAUGCAAACCUGAAGCAGCGCACUUAAUCUUGAGGCUGGCUCUUGCUCCCUGCUCUGCUGCCAAAGCCGGUACUUGGCCUACUUGAUGCGGCAUUAUUGCUGCAGGGGUCAGGUGUGAGCCAGCGCUGAUGAAUGGCUCUUCGUGAUGGAGCACCUCUCCUGCCCAACCAGGGACAUUCCAUAACGAUGGACCGUGUAAAGCACUCCAGAAAAUCCAUACAGGGACACCCAUGCAUUGUGAUUUAAGAUCCAUUAACCAGCCUUGUGUAAGCAGCUGUUGUAAAGUCAGGACUGAGGAGGACCUGAAAGCUGGUAGGAAGUAAAAGUCACAAAGCAGAGGAUCCUGAGUGCUGUAAAACUAUGAACUACAACACAUGCUCCAGAGCUCUUUCCCACUCAGCUCUUAACCCAUGAGGAGGUGAUGCUUAGCUCGUUUUUAGGCUGGUACCCUUAGCCACAAGUCCUGAGUAGUGAGGUGCUCUUUCUGCCCUGCCCCUUUGAGUGUUGGGUCCCACUUCCUGCAGGAGCAGAGGGCAGUGACCAGGAGCCCCUUGUUUGCUCCCGGGGUGGGCAGGGAUGCGAUGAGCGCCUGCCGUGUGCCGAAAUCCCCAGGCAUGGGAGGGAGAAGGGGAAGGAGGCUGUGGGCCACCUCCCCAGGCAGCAUGGGGGCUGCUGUAGGCAGCACCCAGUGCACACUAGCACCAGGAGCAGCACGUGCAGGUACACUCAGUUCUUCAUUUGGCUCCUAACAUGUUUCAUGACAUGGCUGUUUCCCCGAACAUUGUGUGACUUGGUUCCAGUACUGGAAAAACAAUUUGGGCAUCAGUGUUUCAUUUGCAUUUCAUCUAACACGACCACUAGAAACUCUUCCUUGGAGUUAUGUUUACAGCUAUUUGCAGAGAAUUGUCCUGAUGACUUUUGCUUUGGUGCCUGGCUCUGACAUUUAGAGCCCAUCUCAUGGAGGUCUUGUGGGGUUCUCUCUCUGCCCCUCCCUACCCCCCAUGAAACUAUGUUCUGAAUUUUCUAUAAGCAAGAAUGAGCUGUUAACACUUAGCAGGCAAAAGAUGUUCUGAAUUCUGCUAAGAACUGGUUGUUGUUUGUAACAGGCACAUAGCAUAUUUUUAAUUUCUAUCUAGCCAAUAAUAGUGAUACACAAAUUGUAUCAUCCUGCAAAUGGUCACUAAACUCAGCCCUAGGACACCCGAUUGUGACAGAGAGAAUUUUGAAUAAAUGUAAGUUGAUUGGGAAAUGUAUUUAUUCAUCACAUUUAUUUUAAUUAGAAUGGAAAGUGAUGUGAAAUUCCUAUUUUGCAAAAAAAUAUAAACUGUUACCUACUAAUGGGUUAAAAAUAAACAGAAGACUUGAUAUAAAAAAAAAAAA